rnacentral:rRNA from 1 species
UGGGGAAUAUUGCACAAUGGGCGAAAGCCUGAUGCAGCGACGCCGCGUGAGGGAUGACGGCCUUCGGGUUGUAAACCUCUUUCAGCAGGGACGAAGCGCAAGUGACGGUACCUGCAGAAGAAGCACCGGCUAACUACGUGCCAGCAGCCGCGGUAAUACGUAGGGUGCAAGCGUUGUCCGGAAUUACUGGGCGUAGAGUUCGUAGGCGGUUUGUCGCGUCGUUUGUGAAAACCAGCAGCUCAACUGCUGGCUUGCAGGCGAUACGGGCAGACUUGAGUACUGCAGGGGAGACUGGAAUUCCUGGUGUAGCGGUGAAAUGCGCAGAUAUCAGGAGGAACACCGGUGGCGAAGGCGGGUCUCUGGGCAGUAACUGACGCUGAGGAACGAAAGCGUGGGUAGCGAACAGG